AGGCUGAGCCCCCAGGGGCCUCCUCCCGCCCCCGCGGAGCAUCUCGCAUCUCUCCCCCAGGGUCUCUGCAGACAGCGCACCCAGCACGCACCACAGAGGCUCUUCCAGAAGCUCCCAGGCGGGAAGCUGGCGUCCCGGGAUGCUGAGCUUCGGGCAGUGCGAGGCCUCGGUGCUCAGCUCCGGGCCGCAUCUAGGGCUCCUCCGUGGUCGUGCUGAGCCUGGCAGAGCAGGACCCCGAGGAGCAGCAGGACCAAGGCCGUGAGGCCCAUCCGGAUGAGAUUCUGCACCGUGUAGUCUGGGAUGAGGGCGCACAGGUGUCAGAACCACUUUCAGCCCGACCUUGAAGAACGUAGCCAUCCCUGGGACGAUUCCAAGCAGUGGGGAACAGAAGCCCAUGAAUACAUUCCCAAGUGUCACUGCCUUUGGAGGGAAGACCCUGCAGGGCGUUCUCUACACUCUCCGAGGUCCUGGUGGAGUCCCCUGCCAUCACCUCCUGCACGGACCUCAGGCUUCUCUACCAGGAAUUCCUUUCCUUCACACUCUCCCUGCCCCACUCCGCCUUCUUGCUUCUCAGAUAAACUACCUACACUUCCAUCCUUGUCUUGGGUCGUGCUUCCAGGGUAACUCACAGCAAUUCGGGGACUGGAAAAUGCCAUGAGGUGUUUUGGGUUUGUUUUUUCCAAUGACAUCGUCUCUUCUCUGACUGCUCAAGAUCACUCACCUUAACCGCUCCAUGACUUGCCCUUUUGUUCAUCCUUCACCAUUCAGCAAUCUUAUCCCUGUUCACUAAAGAAAUAUUUAAGCAUGUCAACCCAUGGCCAUCCCAGGAAAUGAGGAGAUAAAAUUGAGAAAAAACCCAUGUAUUCCCUGCCCUCAAGCAAGGUCUGGUGUCAUAGAAAAACUAAAUGAACAAAACAAUUACACAGAUAAGUGUUUCUAGCAAGAUCUGUCAUAACCAGACUCAACCUGAGUCUGGAUGAAGCAGGCAUAGUAUUAACUCAUCAUAGAUAGAAACAUGAUAGGUAGAUAAAUAGGUGAAUUGAUUGAUAAGUAGCUAGAUGAUGCAUAGACACUUAAAUAUAUAGAUAGUUACAUAGACACAUAGGUAAACAGCUACA
rnacentral:lncRNA from 1 species